CCUCAAGACUUGGCUCUACAUUCACAGGCUGUCUACUGGGAACACUUUGAUUCUCUGCCUGGGGACCUUUUAUUACCAAGGAAGCCCUGCACUCUUGCAAAGAAGCUGAAAGGGCUAGAGAGUUAAUGCCUUCAGAGAAACCUUCAGCCAAAGAUGAAUGCAGUCUGGUAGGUAAUUAUCCUGGCAUUCUGGUCCCUCAGGAUAACUUUGAGGCCUGUUCUAUAUUCUCUCUUAGAAUCCCACAAUUGCGGGGAAAAAAGAAGAGGAAGAAGAAGACGAAUCCCACAAUGAAGCUGUUGUGGGAUUACAGCCACUGUAAGCUCAUCCUGCCGAGGACAUCUGCAGUCAUUCCUGGUGCACUUCUGGAGUAUCUCCUUGGAAGUUUGGAAGAAGUUAGGCCUACAAUGAUGGACACCGACACCCAGAUGAUGGAGAGAAACCUUUCAAAGACUCCGAGACCUGACACAUCUAUGGAAUUUUAAGAAAUACAAAAUCCUAGCCCAGGAGUUGGAAAACUACAGCUCCCUGUCUGUUUCUUUGUUUGAUCUGCAAGAAUAGUUUCUGCAUUUCUACAUGUUUGAAAAAAAUCAAAGGAAUACUAUUUUGUGACAUGAAAAUUAUUUUAAACCUUACACAAUAGGUUAAAUAUUGCAAAUGAAGUCUUGUAACACAGCCCUAUUCAUUUGUUUACAUAUGGCUGCAUUUGAGUUCCAACAGCAGAGUUGAAGAUUGCAACAGAGACCAUAUGUGGAACUCACAUCACAAAAUACUGCUGCUCAGUGAGUCGUAACAGCAUUUCAUAUGCCAAGCAUAUUUGUUUUAUUUUCAUUUUAUUUUAUACUAACAGUACAUAUCCUUCAAGUCAAAACAAGAAAAAUAGACUUCAUCCAGGUACUGUGGCACACACCUAUAAUUCCAGCAACUAGGGAGGAUAAAGCAAGAAGAUCACAAGUUCAAGGCCAGCAUGGGCAACUUAGCAAAACCCUGUCUCAAAAAUAAAAAGGCUAGAGGUAUAGCUCAGUGGUAGAGCACCCCUGAGUUCCUUCCCCAGUACUGAAGAGGAGGAAGUAGGAGGGGAAGAGAAGGAAAAGAAAAAGAGGAGGAAGAGAAGAAGGAAAAGAACAGUAAACAACUUCAGAUGUUGCCGUUUUAACUCACUGUAGCAUGUGGCUUGUUAUUACAUUUGAUGGGAAAGCAUGCAUUUAUUAUAUAUUGACAUUAUAACCAUACUAAAACUGUAUAAUAUGUCAACAUCACCAGGCUAAGCACUCAUUACAGUGUUUCCAACUCACAAGGAAGAACAGGCAGAAAAAUUUAAAAUGGAAGUUUAAAAUGGCAUAUCUCAUUAUAGGAGGAUUUCUUUACAAGAAUUACAAAUGUAAAUCGGGCAUGUAGGUGCACACCUAUAAUCCCAGCAACUCAAAAGUCUGAGGCAGGAGGAUCACAAGUUUGAGGCCAACCUCAGCAACUUAGAGAGACCUCUGUCAAAAUAAAAAAGGCUGGGGAUGUAGCUCAGUAGUACAGCACAUCUGGGUUCAAUCCCCAACAGUCACCUUCUAGAUAGGUUGGUCGACAAAGAUAUUUUAAGAAUCAAAAGGCACCAGGAGCAGUGGCCCACUCCUAUAAUCCCAGCAGUUUGAGAGGCUGAGGCAGUAGUAUCGCAAGUUCAAUGCCAGCCUCAGCAACUUGGCAAGGCACUCAGAAAGUUAGGGAGAAUCUGUCUCAAGGAAAAAAAGGGAUAGGGAUGUGGCUCAGUGGUUAAGUGCCCCUGAGUUCAAUAUCUGGUACCAAAAGAGAAAAAAAAAAAAGGUGAAAAUAGUUGCUUGGCUCAAGAAAAAUCAAGUAUUUGAAACUAUUUCCCAUUUAAAAAGUUAGUUAACCCACGGAUGUAGUAUCAACUUCAUCCCUUAAAAUCACCAUUAGUGAAUUUUCAACAUUCAAGUCAAUUCAACCAAUAUUUUAUAGACAAUGUACUGGUAAAUGUGAAAAAAUUUAAAAAUAGUGUUGAAAUGUGGCCCUAAAAAAGGGCACUCACCUCUGAGUGGAGAAUGUGAUGGCCCUUAUAACUAGCUGGCCCUGAAUUCUUUGACCUUUGACUUUAAUGUCCUUCUUCAGUCUUUUUCAUGUACACACAGACAGGGCCACUCCUGUGGUAUUAUUCUCACCCACUACUCCUCCAUCACUAACAUCUAUAAUUUUCCAGGGGAAGAUGCGUAGUGUCUCACUGGAGGGUUCUUCUGCCCAGAGGAAUCUGAGCCACUCCAAAUACCCACUCUAAAUCUUAAUUUUACAAAUAAUUAAUCCACCCUAAAUCUUAAUAUCUCAAAUAAUUAACAAAUA
rnacentral:lncRNA from 1 species